UCAGAAUACAUUAGCACAGGUUGCACAGA
rnacentral:piRNA from 1 species